UAUAUUAAAUAAGUUUUAAUUAUCUUUAUAUUACUUUAACUCAACCUUCUAUUUAAUCCUUUACAAGGGAUUAAUAUUAGUAAAUGAAUAUUGCAAAUGUAAUGAUUAUUUAUUUAAUUACCCAACUAACAUUUAAAAUAACUCGUAUAAAAAAAAUAAUAAAAAAUUAUAACAUAUUAUGCAGUCUUAAAUGAAACAAAAAUUUUAGGGUCAAGCUUGGAAAAAUGCCCUAGGAUUUAUAGGAUCCCAUAGAUACGCGGAUAAUACUCCAACGCAAUGUUAUAACCGUAUUAGAAUUUGUAGUUUGCAUUUUAAUGAUGACAGUUUUACAAAUUCCUCGAAAACCCGAAUGCAUCAUUCGUAUGCUAUCUCAUCGAUUGGAGUACCUACCCAAAAAGACGAUGCACAUUUUCCUAAAGCCAGUGUUGAUGCCAUUGUUCAGAAAGAACAGUUCAAAGUAAAUGAGCCAAAGCAGCCGUUACUAAAAGUUGCAGGAAUCCAAACGUCGAUAACUCGAAUAUUAUUGCUGAAUAAGGACUCAAAAGGACGCAGGUAUACCAAUGAAUUUAAACAGUUUGCUCUAAGUGUGUUUUUCCUGGGUACAAAAGCUUACAAAAAAAUGUCCACAGUUUAUCCUCUACCAUCAAGAUCUACAUUAAACCGUUUUACGCAACAAUGGGUAAUAAAUCCAGGUUUUAACGAGUUUGUUUUUAAAGUAAUUGAAUGUAGAGUAAAAAUACAUCUGCACCUGUUAUUCAUUUAAAAGAUAUUUUAUUUAAAACUGUCCGAAGGAUACGCAAAACCGGUUUAAAUAUUUUUGGGGUUGUAUCAGACCAGGGUACUAAUUUUCAAAAACUAGCUAAAAGUUCUUAAAAGGUUUUUGCGUUAGGAUAUUUAGAUAAUGUCGAAACAGCUAAUAGUAUAGAUGAUGGCGCUAAAGCCCUAUUAAAUGUAAAUCCCGAUUUUAUUAAUAGUUGCAAUAAUAUAUAAUUGCAUUCUCCCACUAAAUAUAUUCCUCUUCGAGUUUUUACCAACGAAUAUGUACAUUUAAAAAGCGCAGAAGGAAAUGCUUUAGUAUAUGUAGCAUAUUUAUUUAAAAAAUGUCUCUCACGUCACUCUUGUGAUAUAUGCAAUAAUUUUGCAACUUCCCAAAAUGCCCUGUUUAAUGAAGAGUUAUUUUAUUGUAAAUUAAAAGCAUAUGAAAAUAAUACCCUAUUUAGUGGUCUAACCAUACCUCCAAAAGACAUUAUUGAGUACAUAAUAAAAUUAGAAAGUAUUUUUAUCGCUGAAUUUAAUAAAUUAUCAGCGCAAGAAGCAAUUGGCUAUAAUCUUAAAAAACUGUUUUCUAACAUGACCUUUAAGCAUUCCUGUAAUUAAUUUCCCAUUGACUAUUUUUUAAGUUUAUA
rnacentral:lncRNA from 1 species